rnacentral:rRNA from 1 species
CGAACGCUGGCGGCGUGCCUAAUACAUGCAAGUCGAACGGUCUUUCUAUGGAAGCUUGCUUCCACUGAGAAGAUAGUGGCGAACGGGUGAGUAACACGUGGGUAACCUGCCCAUAAGAGGGGGGAUAACAUCCGGAAACGGGUGCUAAUACCGCAUAGUUUUCUUGAUCGCAUGAUUGAGAAAGGAAAGACGGCCUUUGUGCUGUCGCUUAUGGAUGGACCCGCGGCGUAUUAGUUAGUUGGUGAGGUAACGGCUCACCAAGACGAUGAUACGUAGCCGACCUGAGAGGGUGAUCGGCCACAUUGGGACUGAGACACGGCCCAAACUCCUACGGGAGGCAGCAGUAGGGAAUCUUCCGCAAUGGACGAAAGUCUGACGGAGCAACGCCGCGUGAGUGAAGAAAGGUUUUCGGAUCGUAAAACUCUGUUGUCAGAGAAGAACAAGUUGGAGAGUAACUGCUCCAGCCUUGACGGUAUCUGACCAGAAAGCCACGGCUAACUACGUGCCAGCAGCCGC